rnacentral:rRNA from 1 species
GACGAACGCUGGCGGCGUGCCUAAUACAUGCAAGUAGAACGCUGAAGGAGGAGCUUGCUUCUCUGGAUGAGUUGCGAACGGGUGAGUAACGCGUAGGUAACCUGCCUGGUAGCGGGGGAUAACUAUUGGAAACGAUAGCUAAUACCGCAUAACAGUAGAUAUCGCAUGAUAUCUACUUGAAAGGUGCAAUUGCAUCACUACCAUAUGGACCUGCGUUGUAUUAGCUAGUUGGUGAGGUAACGGCUCACCAAGGCGACGAUACAUAGCCGACCCGAGAGGGGGGUCGGCCACCCUGGGAAUGGGACACGGCCCAGACUCCUACGGGGGGCAGCAGUAGGGGAUCUUCGGCAAUGGGCGGAAGUCUGAACGAGCAACGCCGCGUGAGUGAAGAAGGGUUUCGGAUCGUAAAGCUCUGUUGUAAGAGAAGAACGAGUGUGAGAGUGGAAAGUUCACACUGUGACGGUAUCUUACCAGAAAGGGACGGCUAACUACGUG